UUGCUUCAUCUAUGCAUGUAUAUAUGGUGGCACACAUCAUGCAUAAAUACCAUAGGUUAGUAUGUUCUAUAUUAACAAUGAAAUAAAUAGGUAAUUUAGAAUCAUAUAUUCGUGUACUUGGGAUAUUUAUGAUGAUUGUUUUAGGUAGGUUAUUUUAAUAUAGGUAGAUGUGGUUAAUUUACAUGUAGAUUUAGGGAGGUUAUUUCAUAUUUUUUAUAGUGGAUAGGUAGGUAAUUUAGAUGAUGAUUACGGGUUAUUUUAUCAUAAUAGCCGAGGUAGAUAAUUUAGAUAUAGAUAUAGGGGUCGAGUAUUUUCUUAGAGUAUUUUCUUAACGGUAGAGGUGGGUAAUUUUUUUAAAAAAACAUGAUAGAUUCCAAGGUUAUGAUCAUUGAAGUCUACCUAAUUGAUUACUAGACGAUGUUUUUGGUUUUGUAAGAAUUUCUAAGGAUUUAUCCUUUUUAUCACAUCUUAUGAUAAUUAACGUGGGGGAAUUAGUAAUAGUAAGAUGCCUUAGCUAGGCUGUGUGGUGACAUAUGGCCAUUUCGCGUGAUGAUUGGGUCGCUUGUUGUUCAAACGAGUGAAGAAACCCUUGAGGAUUUAAGGAAUCUUUUUAUGAGCUAAUUUUUAGUUGGUUGCUUAGCUGAUAUCUUCACUCGCGUCCUCACAACAAUCAUCAAGAGAUUAGAUCGAUCAUUGCACGUGGGUACUCAUCAAUCAAA
rnacentral:lncRNA from 1 species